rnacentral:rRNA from 1 species
GGGGAAUAUUGCGCAAUGGGGGGAACCCUGACGCAGCCAUGCCGCGUGAAUGAAGAAGGCCUUCGGGUUGUAAAGUUCUUUCGGUAUUGAGGAAGGUUGAUGUGUUAAUAGCACAUCAAAUUGACGUUAAAUACAGAAGAAGCACCGGCUAACUCCGUGCCAGCAGCCGCGGUAAUACGGAGGGUGCGAGCAUUAAUCGGAAUAACUGGGCGUAAAGGGCACGCAGGCGGUUAUUUAAGUGAGGUGUGAAAGCCCUGGGCUUAACCUAGGAAUUGCAUUUCAGACUGGGUAACUAGAGUACUUUAGGGAGGGGUAGAAUUCCACGUGUAGCGGUGAAAUGCGUAGAGAUGUGGAGGAAUACCGAAGGCGAAGGCAGCCCCUUGGGAAUGUACUGACGCUCAUGUGCGAAAGCGUGGGGAGCAAACAGGAUUAGAUACCCUGGUAGUCCACGCUGUAAACGCUGUCGAUUUGGGGGUUGGGGUUUAACUCUGGCGCCCGUAGCUAACGUGAUAAAUCGACCGCCUGGGGAGUACGGCCGCAAGGUUA